rnacentral:misc_RNA from 1 species
ACACCUCAACCCUCCAAUGUUUUUGCAUUGGAGGUGUUGGUAGUGAGCGCUGCCGGACUUUGGGUCGGCUCGCUUUAAAAUCAUUAGCUGGAUCCAUUCUGACCUGGUUCUACUCGGCGUAAUAAGUUAUUAUCGUAGAGGACGCUUGUCUUUCUAGGCAGGCGGCCACAGUAAGGGUGUUUGAACCGCUCUUGUAGCAAACACUUGAAC